rnacentral:rRNA from 1 species
AGCGUACAAGGUGGAUGCCUUGGCAAUCAGAGGCGAGGAAGGACGUGCUAAUCUGCGAAAAGCUUGGAUGAGUCGAUAAGAGGCGUUUAAUCCAAGAUGUCCGAAUGGGGAAACCCAGUAGAUGAAGAAUCUACUAUCACUUACUGAAUCCAUAGGUAAGUGAGGCAAACCGGGAGAACUGAAACAUCUAAGUACCCCGAGGAAAAGAAAUCAACCGAGAUUUCGUUAGUAGCGGCGAGCGAACGCGAAGGAGCCUGUUAGUGAUAAUGACAGAGACAGAGGAACAAGCUGGGAAGCUUGGCGAUACAGGGUGAUAGCCCCGUACUCGAAGUCCAGGUCAUGGUACUAAGCUAACGACAAGUAGGGCGGGACACGUGAUAUCCUGUUUGAAGAUGGGGGGACCAUCCUCCAAGGCUAAAUACUCCUGAUUGACCGAUAGUGAACCAGUACUGUGAAGGAAAGGCGAAAAGAACCCCGGUGAGGGGAGUGAAAUAGAACCUGAAACCUUGUACGUACAAGCAGUGGGAGCCCUUUUGGGGUGACUGCGUACCUUUUGUAUAAUGGGUCAGCGACUUAUAUUUUGUAGCGAGGUUAACCGAAUAGGGGAGCCGAAGGGAAACCGAGUCUUAACUGGGCGUCUAGUUGCAAGGUAUAGACCCGAAACCCGGUGAUCUAGCCAUGGGCAGGUUGAAGGUUGGGUAACACUAACUGGAGGACCGAACCGACUAAUGUUGAAAAAUUAGCGGAUGACUUGUGGCUGGGGGUGAAAGGCCAAUCAAACCGGGAGAUAGCUGGUUCUCCCCGAAAUCUAUUUAGGUAGAGCCUUGAGCGGACACCUUCGGGGGUAGAGCACUGUUUCGGCUAGGGGUCCAUCCCGGAUUACCAACCCGAUGCAAACUACGAAUACCGAAGAGUGAUACUCAGGAGACACACGGCGGGUGCUAACGUCCGUCGUGGAGAGGGAAACAACCCAGACCGCCAGCUAAGGUCCCAAAGUCUAUAUUAAGUGGGAAACGAAGUGGGAAGGCUUAGACAGCUAGGAUGUUGGCUUAGAAGCAGCCAUCAUUUAAAGAAAGCGUAAUAGCUCACUAGUCGAGUCGGCCUGCGCGGAAGAUGUAACGGGGCUCAAAUAUAGCACCGAAGCUGCGGCAUCAGUAGCAAUACUGUUGGGUAGGGGAGCGUUCUGUAAGCGGAUGAAGGUGGCUCGAGAGGGCUGCUGGACGUAUCAGAAGUGCGAAUGCUGACAUAAGUAACGAUAAAACGGGUGAAAAACCCGUUCGCCGGAAGACCAAGGGUUCCUGUCCAACGUUAAUCGGGGCAGGGUGAGUCGGCCCCUAAGGCGAGGCUGAAAAGCGUAGUCGAUGGGAAACGGGUUAAUAUUCCCGUACUUGGAUAAACUGCGAUGUGGGGACGGAGCAGGUUAGGUUAUCGCACUGUUGGAUAUGUGCGUUUAAGUUGGUAGGUGUGAAGUUUAGGCAAAUCCGGACUUCUAUAACACCGAGAGAUGAUGACGAGGCUCUACGGAGCUGAAGUAACCGAUACCACACUUCCAGGAAAAGCCACUAAGCUUCAGGUUUAUCUAAACCGUACUGAAAACCGACACAGGUGGUCAGGUAGAGAAUACUCAGGCGCUUGAGAGAACUCGGGUGAAGGAACUAGGCAAAAUAGCACCGUAACUUCGGGAGAAGGUGCGCCGGCGUAGAUUGUAGUCCCUAGCGGGCGAAGGUUGAACCGGUCGAAGAUACCAGCUGGCUGCAACUGUUUAUUAAAAACACAGCACUCUGCAAACACGAAAGUGGACGUAUAGGGUGUGAUGCCUGCCCGGUGCUGGAAGGUUAAUUGAUGGUGUAAUCGAAAGAGAAGCUCCUGAUCGAAGCCCCAGUAAACGGCGGCCGUAACUAUAACGGUCCUAAGGUAGCGAAAUUCCUUGUCGGGUAAGUUCCGACCUGCACGAAUGGUGUAAUGAUCUGGACACUGUCUCAACCGUGAG